GUCAGCAGCCGCGGUAACACCGGCGGCCCGAGUGGUGAUCGUGAUUAUUGGGUCUAAAGGGUCCGUAGCCGGUUGGUCAGUCCUCCGGGAAAUCUGAUAGCUCAACUAUUAGGCUUUCGGGGGAUACUGCCAGACUUGGAACCGGGAGAGGUAAGAGGUACUACAGGGGUAGGAGUGAAAUCUUGUAAUCCCUGUGGGACCACCUGUGGCGAAGGCGUCUUACCAGAACGGGUUCGACGGUGAGGGACGAAAGCUGGGGGCACGAACCGGAUUAGAUACCCGGGUAGUCCCAGCCGUAACGAUGCUCGCUAGGUGUCAGGCAUGGCGCGACCGUGUCUGGUGCCGCAGGGAAGCCGUGAAGCGAGCCACCUGGGAAGUACGGCCGCAAGGCUGAAACUUAAAGGAAUUGGCGGGGGAGCACAACAACGGGUGGAGCCUGCGGUUUAAUUGGACUCAACGCCGGACAACUCACCGGGGGCGACAGCAAUAUGUAGGCCAAGCUGAAGACUUUGCCUGAAUCGCUGAGGAGUGGUGCAUGG
rnacentral:rRNA from 1 species